GACGGAGGAUGCAAGUGUUAUCCGGAAUCACUGGGCGUAAAGCGUCUGUAGGUGGUUUAAUAAGUCAACUGUUAAAUCUUGAGGCUCAACUUCAAAAUCGCAGUCGAAACUAUUAGACUAGAGUAUAGUAGGGGUAAAGGGAAUUUCCAGUGGAGCGGUGAAAUGCGUAGAGAUUGGAAAGAACACCAAUGGCGAAAGCACUUUACUGGGCUAUCACUGACACUGAGAGACGAAAAGCUAGGGUAGCAAAAUGGG
rnacentral:rRNA from 1 species